GGUGUAUUAGCUCAGACGGUAGGGCACCUGACUUUUAAUCAGGGUGUCCCGCGUUCGGGUCGCGGAUAGAUCACCA
rnacentral:tRNA from 1 species